rnacentral:rRNA from 1 species
UAAGGAAUAUUGGUCAAUGGGCGGAAGCCUGAACCAGCCAUGCCGCGUGCAGGAAGACGGCCCUACGGGUUGUAAACUGCUUUUGUACCGGAAUAAACCUCAUUAUGUAUAAUGAGCUGAAUGUACGGUAAGAAUAAGGAUCGGCUAACUCCGUGCCAGCAGCCGCGGUAAUACGGAGGAUCCAAGCGUUAUCCGGAUUUAUUGGGUUUAAAGGGUGCGUAGGCGGCCUGUUAAGUCAGGGGUGAAAGACGGUAGCUCAACUAUCGCAGUGCCCUUGAUACUGAUGGGCUUGAAUGUACUUGAGGUAGGCGGAAUGUGACAAGUAGCGGUGAAAUGCAUAGAUAUGUCACAGAACACCAAUUGCGAAGGCAGCUUACUAAAGUAUGAUUGACGCUGAGGCACGAAAGCGUGGGGAUCAAACA